UGAUGAUGAUGAUGAUGAUGAUGACGAUGGUGAUGAUGAUGAUGAUGACGAUGAUGAUGAUGAUGAUCAUCAUCAUCAUCAUCAUCAUUAUGAUGA
rnacentral:pre_miRNA from 1 species